AAGCGAAACGCCCUGGUAUGGGCGUCUAUCGGAAGUAGCGAACCGGUACUGAAGAGCAAGCCAAC
rnacentral:hammerhead_ribozyme from 1 species